rnacentral:lncRNA from 1 species
GGUGACCCAGGCUCUCACCUUACCGUCCCUUACCGUCCUCCUGAGGGUGUCCUGGAGCUUCAGUGCUGUGUGUUCUUGGCCUCCACGCUGGGGCUGCCACCAACUCCCACUGUCCAGGGCUUCCAGUGGACUCUCCGAGGUACUGAUGUAGAAACUUCCCCAUUCGGUGCACCAAGAGCAACCUCACACGGUGUGGGCUGAAUGAAGAGCUGCCAGAUCCCACAGAAAUGUGAUUGAUAACAGUAAAGCCACACUACUCAAGUGCCUGAAAUACCCCUCAUUGUCUUCUUCAGGUGGCAAGGGCUCUGGAACAGCCACAUAAAGCCCUUGAAGAUAAGGAUGGUCAAACAAAAUAAUAUCAUACCUGGAGAAACUCAGAUCUUGGUAAGAUUUACUGGUUGGGAAUCCAAAGUUA